GACAUUUCAUUUACCCUUGAACUAGAAACAUAAACUACUGUUUGAUGUGAGGAAAUAAAGAAUUCAAGAAUGAGGCAAAUACUUGAUAUGCUUCACUUCAACUUUGAAUCAGUUUUAUAUGGGAACUGAGAAGUGCCCACCCGCUGAGCUCCUAAAGAGCCUACUUUGCAACUCAAUCUAACUGAACCAAGCAACAGAACCCAGGUCUCUUUUCAGGAACUCAGUAACCAGUCGCUGCUAUCAGGUAUAGUUGUCACUGGAACAAGAGUCCUGAAUAUGGAAAGAAUGACCGAGGGACACUGUCUUGGUGGGACUCCACAGAAAACGUAAGAUAGUAUUCGGCAUGGUAAGCAACAUACAGCAUCAAGCAUAUUAGCGCUAUAAGUUUUAUCUUUUGAAGGCUGUUGAUUGCAAUUGUGAAAAAAGGAUACAGGCUAGAAUGAGUAAGAGUUGUCCCAACAGUGAUAUCAGUUAGGGGUUGACAGUGGAAAAUGUGACUUGCAAAUUCUAAAAAGGCAUUUGUCCACAGUCAAGAACUGCAUCAGGGCCGGGCAGUGUUGGCACACAUCUUUAAUCCCAGCACUUGGGAGGCAGCGGCAGGCAGAUUCUGACUUCGAGGCAUGCUUCAGGAUCAUGCUUGCUGCCAAGAGUGAUUGGUGUGACAUGCUGUCACAAAGGGAUAAUUCUGACAUGUGAGCUUGUUGAGUGCCCUGACAAUGGUGACAGGAAAGCUGUAUUGGGUAUAUGUUCUUGACCCACCUUUGCUUUCCUAUAUCCCAGAUUAUACAAGCUGGCUUGCUUCAAGGUUUUACACUUUGUGAGACAGAGAACAUAGAGACUGUGGAAACUGAUUAGAAAAAUUAAUCAAAAUGAAUAUUUAUAAUGACUUUUCUCUUUCCUUUAAAGUGCCCAGUUAUUUUAACUCAGUGAUGGACUGACUGGUCUAGAAAUAAGUCCAAUGUUGGAUAUUCUAAUUACGAAGAUAGCUAAAAUAUCUUUAUCAGCCAGCUUACCUGACUCUUACCACUAUUGACCUGAGAAGUAACAGUUUUUUUCUGUUGAUUCCCAAACCACAUCCCCCACACUAAGAGGCCAGGCCCUGGCACUGAUCUUUGCUAAUUUGCAACUGAAUUGAGUGCCUGGGACAUCCCCACAGAUAACUUUAACUCUGCUCCUUUUAACUUUUCACUUUGUUUUUUAAACAGGUAGGUUACUUCCAUACAGUCUCACCUUCAGCAAAGCUCAGAUAUGGCAGUUAUUCAUCACUCUGUAGAGAUGCAUUGAGUGCUUAUUGUGGCUUUGGUCUGAAUGAAAAAAAGAUGUGCUAUGAGGUACAGCAGCCAAAGAUGGACCAAUGAUGAUUCUAUUGACUCUUAUCAAACUUAGACAGAGGCAUGUGCCAAAAGGAUAUGUUUGUUCAUUAUAAACACUAAAAGGCUAUGCUUGUGCAAAUAAACACAAAUAAGCUGCAUGUGUUCUCCUGGAUGGGUCAGAAGGAGUCUAGACAUUCAGACCCAAGGCAGGCAGAGCCACCAGCCACCAUAAUUCCCAAACAGGGCCAUGGAGGAUAAGUAAAUUUUAUGCAUCAGCCCAGCUAAUUUUUAAUAAAUAAAAAGGGAGGAACUGUAACACCCCCUCUCCCCAGUCUUAAGCUGGCUGAACAAGUCUAUGACACUGGAGCCAGGCAUCUGGCUCUGCUACAUGUACAUCUUCCUGUCAGAGGACUGACUGACAACUGCCUGCCCACUGAGCUGCUGAAGAGCCUACUUUGCAACUCAAUCCAGCUGAAACAAACAACAGAAAUUCACCCAAAACAAAGGGAUGGGUCUUUGGGUUUUCCCAUAUUUAUUCAGUGACAUACAUUAAAGAUUGAGCCUUGAUUAGAGAACUUUGUCUUGGCUCAUUAUUUCUCUUGCCAUCCUUUCCGUCCAUCCAUAGCUUUCCUUUUAGGAACCUAGUAAAAUUUGGCCACUUGCUGCUAAAUCAGAUUAUUGUUGGACUUACUGAAAUCAACUUGCUUAGCACCGUGUGGCAGUUUGUAUAUCCUUGGACCAGGGAGUGGCACCAUCUGGAGGUGUGGCUUUGUUGGAAUAGGUGUGACCUGGUUGGAAUGGGUUGUCACUGUGGGUGUGGGCAUAAGAUCCUCACCCUAGUUGCCUGGAAGUCAGUCUUCCAGUAGCAGCCUUUGGCUGAACUCUCAGCUCUGCCUGUGCCAUGCCUGCCUGGAUGCUGCCAUGCUCCCACCUUGAUGUUAAUAGACUAAACAUCUGGAACUGUAAGCCAGCCCCAAUGAAAUGUUUUUUAUAAGACUUGCCUUGGUCAUGGUAUCUGUUCACAGCAGUAAAACGCUAACUAAGACACACCCCAAAUCUAGCAUGGUUCCCUGGAAACCAGAGGUAAAGACAGAAUUAGAGGGCAAAGAGAUUAUUAGCCAGUAACUCAUGAAGGAUGAAGGGAGCCAGGAGACAGCAGAAUCAAGAAAGGGAAGUGAUCCUGUGUUAGUCAGAAAUGCUAUGGCAUAGUUUAUAUAUUAGGCUCAGGACUUUCCCCUUGAAAUGCAUUGAAUGGAACCAUAUAUACCUACCUAUCCCGAGCUUUUGUCCCCACCGGCAAGAACACGCUCAGGACAACCGGAAUCUUCUGCGGCAAAAGCUUUAUUGCUUACUUCUUCAGGAGCAAGAGGAGAAGAGAGAUGAAUGGCAAAACCCCGUCCCUUUUAUGGAGGAUUGUCCUCCGCCUCAGACGUGUCGCUCCCUGAUUGGCUGCAGCCCAUCGACCGAGUUGUCGUCACAGGGAAGGCAGAGCACAUGGAGUGGAAAACUACCCGGCACAUGCGCAGAUUAUUUGUUUCCUAAUUAGAACACAGGAUGUCGGCACCAUCUUGUAAUGGCGAAUGUGAGGGCGGCUCCUCACACCUACCAUUUUAUAGGUGUAAAAUGACUGUGCUGGCAGUUGAUACAGUUCACCUCAACGGUGGUGAUCCUUCUGUGGAUGUAAAUUCAUUUUCAUCUGAAGCACGAUAAGAGGUUUUAAAUUUCAGAAUGUAAAAAUAUUUAGCCAUGGAUGUGAAAACCUUAAAACUGAAUGCCUAAAAUAGUGCUUAGGGCUGGAGAAGCGCCUCAGUCAUUAAUUCUAACUAUAGACAAUGCUUCCAGAGGACAGGAUGAAUGGAAGUUUCCAGCAGCCAUGCCAAGCAGCUCACAAGCUGCUGUCAGUCAAGUGCCCCUGUCAGUCCUCUGCAUGCACCUGCACACAUACAUACAUACAGACAGACAGACAGACACACACACACACACACACACUCACACACACUCACACACACACAGAUACAAAGAGACACACACACAGUCCCCCCACACACAGACACUAAAAUUAAUCUUUUAAAAAACAACAAAAGAAUUGCUAAAAAUGGACUUAUUAUAUGUUUCUAUGAGGAUAAUACAGCAAUCACUGGCUUUAUCCCUCAAAAUUAAUUUUAUAAACAGCUAUUCAGAAUUAACUUCAUUGUAAGUUUGUCAAAUGAUUUUCUGAAGAGAUGACCACUUUGAUUUUAUUUAGGUGCAAAGAAAAUUUAAGUAGUUUUUGAAUGAAUCUAGGGAAUGGACCUGCUGGAAAUGGAUAUUUAAAAAGAAUCAAACAAAUCCAAUAUUAAAAUAUACUAUAAAUCUAGUAUCAGACAUUUGUUUAUAAAUAAUAAAAUAACUAAAUAAACUCUGUAGUGCAGAAAGGUUCCAGUGUGUCUGACAUUUUAUGCUACUUGGUUGUGGUGCUCAUCUUAGUGUCAUGCAGUUUAAUCCUUCCACUAGGCAGUAAUUAGAUAUAUAAAGACAUGAAGGGAGUCUUUCAAAUACUACUGACAAGAUAAGGACUGAAACUCUGGAGAUAAUUGGACAGACCCAGCAACCACACCAUGGCCUUUGUAACUACACAUACGUAGCUCUGUCAAGCUCAUCUAUGUCUGAAAGAGAAAGAACUUAAUCACAGUAGACACCUGGACUUUGAUGAAGCUUAAGAAAUUGGUUGAGAAUGCUGAUUAUGGGGUGGAUCCCUGGA
rnacentral:lncRNA from 1 species